GGAUUAGAUACCCUGGUAGUCCACGCCGUAAACGAUGCUAACUCGUUUUUGGAUUUUCGGAUUCAGAGACCAAGCGAAAGUGAUAAGUUAGCCACCUGGGGAGUACGUUCGCAAGAAUGAAACUCAAAGGAAUUGACGGGGGCCCGCACAAGCGGUGGAUUAUGUGGUUUAAUUCGAUGAUACGCGAGGAACCUUACCAAGACUUAAAUGGGAAAUGACAGGUUUGGAAACAGACCCUUCUUCGGACAUUUUUCAAGGUGCUGCAUGGUUGUCGUCAGCUCGUGCCG
rnacentral:rRNA from 1 species